ACCCUCCCAGGAUCACACUUGGAGAGUUUCCAGUACUCUACCAGUCUCGACUAUGAGAGAGAGAGUCAAGCAGAGGCAUAACAAUUCCAUUCCUAGCUUGAGCAAUGGCUAGCAAGUGGAAGGCAAUCUGCUACAAGU